AUACGUAGGGGGCAAGCGUUGUCCGGAAUUAUUGGGCGUAAAGCGCGCGCAGGCGGUUCUUUAAGUCUUGUGUUUAAUCCCGGGGCUCAACCCUGGUUCGCAUGGGAAACUGGAGGGCUCGAGUGCAGGAGAGGAAAGUGGAAUUCCACGUGUAGCGGUGAAAUGCGUAGAGAUGUGGAGGAACACCAGUGGCGAAGGCGACUUUCUGGCCUGUAACUGACGCUGAGGCGCGAAAGCGUGGGGAGCAAACAGGAUUAGAUACCCUGGUAGUCCACGCCGUAAACGAUGAGUGCUAGGUGUCGGGGGUGUCAUGCCCUCGGUGCCGAAGUUAACACAGUAGGCACUCCGCCUGGGGAGUACGCUCGCAAGAGUGAA
rnacentral:rRNA from 1 species